UGGGCAACCUGCCCCUAGCUCUGGGAUAACUGCGGGAAACUGUAGCUAAUACCGGAUGUGACACGAGACUGCAUGGUCUUCGUGUGGAAAGAUUUAUCGGCUAGGGAUGGGCCCGCGGUCUAUCAGCUUGUUGGUGGGUAAUGGCUCACCAAGGCGACGACGGAUAACCGGCCUGAGAGGGCGACCGGUCACACUGGGACUGAGACACGGCCCAGACUCCGUACGGGAGGNA
rnacentral:rRNA from 1 species